GGGCCCCUGUGAUGUCUAGCACUGGGCUCCGAUUCCUUUUGAGGACGCUGUGCCCCCUGGAACUUUGACGCCCAGGGAGUCUGAGGGGCCC
rnacentral:snoRNA from 1 species